GGGUAUGCUGGAACUCCUAUGCUGCAUUUCUCUUUAUUCUUGGCAUUAUUGUAGUUUGGGGACAGUAGGAAAGUGGAUUGUUAUUUCUUUGCUAUAUUAUGCUCUUGGAAUGUGCCUAAGCUUGCUUCCUAUUGAUGUUAUUAUUUGUUGUUAUUUCUUCACUUAAAACUAAAGAAAUGUUUUAGGUAAUUGUAUUUAUAUUACGGCUGACUUCUCGAGUAAUUGUUAUUGUUUUUGUUUGUGAUUUGCAGGCAGGGGU
rnacentral:misc_RNA from 1 species